UUUAUAUACCGAGUAUACUGGGGAGCUUUUGAUUGCCUUCAAAAAGAACUGGCAGAAGUGCCCUCACAAACCAGACAGACCUUCCCUGUUUGCCAGGAAGAAGCCCGUGAUGAGGUUUCAGCAGUCUUAGCAGCCUCAGGUGGACCAGCUUUGAAAAAGGGAGAAGAGAGUCCUCAGGCCUGGCCUACUGGUGCCAUUGACCAGUCAUUCUCAAGAAAUCCUCUGGCACAUUCCCACUCCUUCUGCCACAUCUCCAAGUACAACAGUGCUGAGAUAUCUGGAGACAACAGGGAUUCAACAGAGAUACAUGGAUACAUGGGAGGAACAACCCUAAGCACCAGGACAUGCAGGGGACCACCCAGUUGCAAAGCAGCUUUGCAGGAAAGGACCCAAGAGUCCUGUUUGACACCAAGUUGAACAUGAAUCAGCAGUGUGCCCUUGCUGGUAUUUGGAUACUGCUGUGAUCCUCAAACAACAAAGAUACAGGAGUGGCACAGUUGUAAACCAUCGUAAAAUAUUGUUUUCUAUCAGUCUCUACAGUUACGGGUAAUUGCUAAAGUACAUGAACGUCCGUGGAGAACAGAAAUUUUCAGUUCAACUCAAGGAUUCAUCUGUAUUGCAAAUGCCUUCCACAGACCAGCUUCUUUAAGGCUCUAAGGCUGCUUUACAGCUACUUGACUGUCAAUACUUCUCUCUUCUAUGAGAUCACCUGCUGUUCUCCAGGGACCCAGACACACUUCAGCACUCACAGUAUCCUUUUAUCAAGGAGUUCCAUGACAGUUUGCAUGGAGUACCUUCUCCAUUCAAACCUACCUCCGGUUUGAUUUCUCUGUCUUUAGACAUAGCUCUUCACCCCUUAGCAGCUGUAUCCCUGAGUACAGAGGGGUCUCUAUUGAUUUCUAGUAAAGGAAGAAUGAUGUUGUAAAGCUAGCCACAUAUUAAACUAAAGCAUACAUGUACAGCAGACAAAAAAAUCCUCCCAUUUCAGUUCAGUCCUCAUUUCAGUUGCAAUGAAAAAAUACAGAGUAUUUUCACUGCUUCUCUAUGAAUCCCAUCAACAAUUUCAUACAAGUACUGUCUGAGUCAAAUGCCAACAAAAAUGAAAAGGACUCUGUGCAUGAAAGAAAAGGAUCGUUAUUUAUUUAGUUUGAGGGGAGGGUACUGUGUGAUUGCAAUUAAUAUUAGUUUUGAUCAACACAGAAAUGCCUCAUGGUUAUAUAGGCUGAAAAGCAAUGUUUUCAACUUCUUUGAUAUUUUCCCAAUAAGAAGGUAGCCAGAGGAGGAGAAAGAAAUUUUACAUUUCUGGUUAUUUUCUUUUAUUAUUUUAAAUAAUUUUAAAUCAGGAUGUUCAUGGUAGCAUCCUGAUCAAAUACUCAAACACUGAACAGUAGGGUAAUUUUUAUAACAGCACAGGUUCACAGGCUGAUCACCUAAUGAACAAUGGGAAUUUUAGAACUAAUGUAAGCAGUGCUGACAACCUGCAAAAUGCUAUUAUAAAUUUUCAAGAUGGGCUGCAUUUCAACAUCAGAAUCUUUAAGAUCUUAUACCUACAAGAUAAGAAGUCUGUAGAAGAGAAAGCUCCAGGGAGACCUUAGUACUUAAAGGGGGCUUAUAAAAAAGAUGUACAGCAACUUUUUACUCAGGCAGAUAAUGACAGGACAAGGAGGGAUGGUUUUAGAAUAAAGAGGGGAGAUUUAGAUUAGAUAUUAGGAGGAAAUUCUUCACUCAGUGGGUGGUAAGGCACUGGAACAGGUUGCCCAGAGAAGCUGUAGAUGUCCCAUCCCUGGAGGUGUUCAAGGCCAGGUUGGAUGGGGCCUUGGCAGCCAGAUCUAGUGGGUGGCAUCCCUGCCCAUGGCAGGGGGGUGAAACAGACAAGAACCUGUUAGAGAAGGUCCAGAGGAGGGUCACAAAAAUGAUCAGAGGGCUGAAGCACCUCUCCUGUGAAUAAAGGUGGAGAGAGUUUAUGUUCAGCCUUGAGAAGAGAAGCUGGGGAUACCUCAUUGCAGAGUUUCAAUAUAUACAAGGGGCUUGUAAGAAGGACAGAGACUAUUUACCAGGGCCUGUAAAGAGAGAAUAAGGGAUAAUGGUUUUAAACUGAAAAAGGGUAGAUUUAGGCUGCGUAUAAGGAAGAAAUUCUUCACUCAGAGGGUGGUGAGGCACUGAAACAGGUUUCCCAGAGAAGUUGUGGAUACCCCUUCCCUAAAAGUGUUCAGAGUCAGGUUGGAUGGGGUUUAGAACAAUUUGACCUGAAAGAUGUCCCUUCCCAAGACAGAAUGGUUGGACAAGACUACCUUUAAUGGUCCCUUCCAACCUGAAUGAUUCUAUAAUUCUAUUAUAAAACUAAAGAAUACAAGGAGAAAUUUAGUUCCAAAAUCCUUUUGAUAUGUGAUGAAGAACAACCCACCCCCCCCC